CAAAUAUGAAACGGGUUCGGGGCUGUGAAACACUUCCGAAAAACUCCACCUGUAGCGGUGGCUGAUUUGCCACAUUGAAGACAAAGUCUACGUUUACAUACCUCUCCGUUGUGCAUUCGCAAACAGUAUGUCAGCGACGCCUAUCGAUACAGAGGAAAGAGGAACGGUGUGACGCGUGCGCAUGAACUGAACAGCAGCGGACUCGCUGGAAUCUGUCAGAAGAAAAAAGCACAGUUCUCCCUGUUGUAUCCGCAGCGGACUAGAGAGGCAAUGGGAUCGAGUGGCAAACGGUGCAACUCAAAUAAUACAGUCACCGACCCCCUGCAUAUUUGGGCGGGUGGUAUAACCCAGCACGAACAACAACCAGGCUCCUUAUGCUCCCUGUAUACCUCUUCGCUGGACCGCUCAAGACAUAUACCAGUGUUGGAUCUCAAUAUCCUACAACACUGAGGUCGCUCCUGGCGCGGAGUUCGCCGAAGGUGUCGAUGAAAUGGUGUCACGCAGCUUUUUCGAGCUGGACUCUGCGUGCAAAACCAUCACUGCGAACAAACGAUCUGAGGACACGGAGGUUGCCGUGGCAUCUGUGUUCCUGUCGGUUCUUCCCUCAGUGCUCAUGGUCUUCGAAUUUCUGCGGCGGCUUGCGACAGAUUCGAUUUAAACUGAGUUCCUUCCCCAUAUCCCCCAUGGCUCUUCUCUCAGUAACCCUGAGGCAACCUGGGAGCGAGAUAUGCCAAGACCACCGUCAUUCCAGAAUUCACUGUUCCGGACUAGAUCGUUCCGAUCCGGCUUCCUCUGGGCUAGCUUCCUUCGAUAUGGUUUCCUCAGGGGUAGUUUGCUUUGGCGUUGCUUCUGCACUUCGCGCGUCUGUGGUGGGCUGCAUGAUGUCGAAGACGACAUCUACCUCGAGAGAUGGGCUCCCCAGGCGAGUUUUGUGGAGCAAUUUUUCCGCACUGUCAACGAGGCGCUCCUCGAUGCCUCCCUCAGUCUUGAUGAUAAGCUGGAUACGGGGAAUCUCCUUGUUUAGCUUGUCCAACUUUGCACGCCGCUGCGACCCAGAGAGCAGCAUUUCUUGAACGACACGCUGAGCCUUGAUAACGUCCAUGAGGAUACCAAGUUGAUCGUGAAUUUCGGCGCCCAUCUCCCGCAGAGAAGUCACCAUCAACUUCAUGAUUUUCAUCUGGUCUUCUCGCGACGGCGCCGUCGCCACUGCCCCUCGCGCGCGCCGCAGUAGGUUUCCUCGGGACUUUUUCAACUCUGCAAUCUUCAACUCGGCCCAGUGCCUCCGCAAGGAAAGCUCGAGGUUGGCGGCCGCAGGCGUAGGCGGGGACAAAGUACUGAGUUCUUGCUCAUCCAUGCUCGUGGUAAUGGACUGCUGGAGCAAGCGCCGAUCCUCCUGGCUGUCGAAAUAUGCGGUAAAAAACUCGAUGCUCUGCAGCGGCCCCUGCCGCUCGCGGACUUGCCGCAUAGCACUAACAACCCUGAACAUGCGAAUGGCGUUUGUCAGGCGCCGGAGCGGCGCCACAACGAGAUUCAGGAGUGUCAAGGCGACGAUGACCACCUCCGCUGGAGUUGUCAGGCCGACGAGGCUGAAGGGAACAGUGGACCUCUCGAGGAUUUUUCGCGUGCGUACCAGCUGCUUCGACAGGUUUCCGUAAGUCUGGGCACGUCCCUCUGGAGUUCCGACUUGCCGCAAUAAAUCACCCAGAACUCCCGGAUUCUUCAGAGUGGCAUCAUAGAGGGCUGGCCCAUACUGUUGGGUUGCGUACGCGGCCGCUGCGACAGCAACCAAUACCGCGACGGCGAACAUCUGGUGCUUUCGCCUCCGGCCUCCGGUAGCCUCAGCCCGUCGUUUCUCAUUGUCCGCUUGAAGAACUGCAAGAAGACUACCGCGAUUUUCCUCGGGAAAAAGGAGAGUAUAGAGAUCCUGCUCCGUAAGCUGCUGGCUUUCGCUUUCCUCGGCGAUCUCGGCUGUGGCCGACUUGAGGGUUGAAGUUUUCCUAUUGAGCACACGGCUGAGCGAGAGACUAAGAAUGACGGCGAGCACCGGCACUAGAAAGAGCACACCAGCAGAGGCAAUUUCAUAUGUGGUGAUGGCCUUCCUGUCUUGCCGUCUCCUCUUGACCUGCGUCACUCGGGCGAGUUGCACCUCGGCCCCGUCUUGUGGCUGCUGCACUUUGUUGUCGACGUCAGUAAGUGUGCUGACACUUUCUGCUGGGGGAUUGGAAGUGGUUGUGUAGCUGACAUUUUCUGCUGGGGGAUUGGAAGUGGUUGUGUAGCUGACACUUUCUGCUGGGGGAUUGGAAGUGGUUGUGUAGCUGACACUUUCUGCUGGGGGAUUGGAAGUGGUUGUGUAGCUGACACCUUCUGCUGGGGGAUUGGAAGUGGUUGUGAUGCUGACAGCUUGCUGCUCCGUCAAAACCCAAAGUCCACA
rnacentral:lncRNA from 1 species